rnacentral:lncRNA from 1 species
CUGCAGGAGGAGAGCCUGCAGGCCUCCUGGGUAGAAUUACACAUUCACAAUAAUGAAAAUGAGAGCAGUGUUUCAACCUCAGUUUCUACUUAUAAUGGUGACAAGGAAAAAAUACUGCUGAAUUUCCAGCAUGAGUCCAGAUAGAGAUAGCUCCAAAAGUUCUCACUGUGACAGCCUAGCUUAAUCAGAAAUCAUGGGAUUAAUUAAUAGGGCUUCGAAUAGGGCUUCUGAAACAGACACCCAAAGCACUGGAGAGAAAAAAGUUAAAAUGAUAUUAGGAAAAAGCUCAGAUUAGAUAUAAAAUUGAUCAUGUCUGCCAGAAAAUAUUCUCCUAAAAGCAAUUUCUCUCUAAACACCCAAAGCGCACAGCUACUCUCAGCAAGAGAAACAUGAGCAUUAUGAAGAAAGGUGGCAGAUUUUCAGAAGAAUUUUUAUAAAGUUUCUUUCCCAUCUCUGCUGUUCUGUCAUCUCCUAGCCAUUGAAUGGAGGUUCUAUAUUGAAAUACAUCUGACAACUUCCAACAACACUUUUUGA